rnacentral:rRNA from 1 species
GAUGAACGCUGGCGGCGUGCCUAAUACAUGCGAGUCGAGCGAACGGACGAGAAGCUUGCUUCUCUGAUGUUAGCGGCGGACGGGUGAGUAACACGUGGAUAACCUACCUAUAAGACUGGGAUAACUUCGGGAAACCGGAGCUAAUACCGGAUGAUAUUUUGAACCGCAUGGUUCAAAAGUGAAAGACGGUCUUGCUGUCACUUAUAGAUGGAUCCGCGCUGCAUUAGCUAGUUGGUAAGGUAACGGCUUACCAAGGCAACGAUGCAUAGCCGACCUGAGAGGGUGAUCGGCCACACUGGAACUGAGAAACGGUCCAGACUCCUACGGGAGGCAGCAGUAGGGAAUCUUCCGCAAUGGGCGAAAGCCUGACGGAGCAACGCCGCGUGAGUGAUGAAGGUCUUCGGAUCGGAAAACUCUGUUAUUAGGGAAGAACAUAUGUGUAAGUAACUGUGCACAUCUUGACGGUACCUAAUCAGAAAGCCACGGCUAACUACGUG